GUUUUUGUUUCUUAUAUUGGCAAGCUUUUAAAUUAUUUAAAGUUGCAGAACAAUUGUUUAUUAAUGUGAAGUCGAAGUUUGGGGUGAUUAGCCUUAUCUCGUUAAAUUUUGUUCAGCAUGAAACAGUCUGAACAGCAAUCCUCGAUUUUGUCAACAGUCUAAAGCGUGCUAAGGAGUAGUCAUUCGUCGAUUUACCUGCGGCUUCCAGAUGAUCUGAAGAUCAGGAAUAUAGAAAAUAUUGUCAAUUUGAUAUUGCUAAUGACCCAGUCAAGUCUGCUGAAGCCCAGAAGUUUCCAGACCAUGACAUUAAUGAAUAUUUCUUGAAUGGAAUGCAUGAGGAUUAGAAUGGAACCUUAUUCUGCCUUUUUAUGGAGCCAACCACAGAAGAAUUUGUUCUAUACACAUCAUUCAUAACAUUCUAAUUUAUGUUGCAUAACUUUAAAUGUUACUGGAUGAAUUGUGUUCACAUGAUGAAUACCAGCAAACUUUUUAUCGAGUGCACUUAAUUUGUAUUUUUCCUACCCAUCCAUCUAACAUAUGUUUUUAUAUAACAUAUUCAUAUACAUGUAACAUUUUUGGAAACAGCUAUUUUUUUAAAAUUGGAAUUUAGCCUUACUAUUUUGUACAAGUUUUUUUUUAAAAGGACUUGGACAUUUAUGCAUAAAAUGAUUUACUUGCACAUUUUGAAUAAUUGACCAUAAUUUGAAUGUUAGAAGUCAAGUUAUAAGAGAGAUACAGAGGUAAGAAUUUAUUGUUAUGUAAACAAAGCUCGAGUCUUAUGUUUGUUUACAAAUAAUAUGAAGUAUGAAAUUACCAUACUGAUUCGAUGUGAUCAUAAAUGAUAUUAAAUGAAAUUAUUAAUAGAAAAAAGCAACAUAUGAAUGAAACUUACACCAAUAAAACCAGAUGUAAAUAAUAACAAGACUCGCGCUUUGUUUUUAAAACAAAGAAUAUUUAAUUCUUUAUCUUUCAUUUAACUCAGUAUUUGACUUUCAAAAUUAGUAUUAUGAUUUUUUUUAGAAUGAUAUAUGCAAUUUCAUUAAUUUAUUUUUCAUUUUAAGAAAAUUCAUUUUAAAAAAGAUCUCUUACAACCUGUGUAUUUUUUUUUCAGUUUACAUAACAGUGUAUAAAUUGAAUGUAGUUGUGUAGAUUUAUACAUGUACCUACAAGCAAUAUACAUUUAAUAUUCACCAGGUACAUUACCAGCCUACUAUAUUUGAUAAAUAAAUGUACUUCUUUCAU